GCUCAGGCUCUUAGUUUCAAAGCUCAUGUCCUGCCUCUGGUCACAUGUGUCACUGUGCUGUUUGCUGCUGUUGUGUUGCUCUUCUACAAAUGGAUCAGAAUAAGGGAGACUGAUGGUUUGACCACCAGGAGGCAGUCAGACACAAAGAACAACACAAGCAGAAACCUGGAGUUUUCCACAUGCAGGAAGUGCUCUCCAGUCUCUAGAUGUGCAGACUUCACCCCCCCCAGUGGAUGAAACCUGCAGCAGUCAUAAUAAAAUCUAC